rnacentral:lncRNA from 1 species
AUGGGAGCCAAAUGGGACCAGUUCUGCAUGGCUCCAGGGGGCCAAAUCUGGAGCAGUGGGUACGAGUGGCAAAGAGGCAAAUGGAAGCCUGAUGCCGGGGAAAACUUCCUCUCAGCGCAAGCUGCCCCUAAUGAUACUGCAGUCUUAGGACCACAGACGCUGAGGUGGAGGCACCCUCCAAGGCCAAUGGGCCACCCCGCCAUUUUACAGUUGGGGAAACUGAGGCUCCAUUGGUCUGAGGUCACAGAGGUGGGCGUCCUCCUUGGGAUUGGAGAUGCUACUGCUGAAGGCACGCCGGUUUCCUCCUGGAAUGACAGCUGCUUUUUUCCUCUUCAAAGCUGCUGCUGGUGGAUGGAUGCGGAGGACUCGAGGAAGCCAAUCUGGGGGCAUCGUUGCUCUUUGAGGACCAUCUCUGGGACUUUGCAUGGGCCAUCAGAGAGGCCCGGAUGUUUCGGAUGUUUCCUAAUUAGGUGUGCAAAUAACCUGCUGCCAAAUGACUUUUUUCACCUUCAGAGUGUGGCAGCUGCGAGGGGAGAAACUGCAGUUUUCAUUUGUGCCCAGCCAGAAGUGGGGCAGGGAAGAGAGCGCCCACCACCGGCCCCAGUGGAGAAGAGGAGCCAGAGCCAAGGGAAGGUUCCAGAGGGAAUAGGUAGUAUACCAGGCUGAGCGUCUGCUCUUAAGCCACUGGACGCCUCCUGGAAAUUCCAAGGGUUUAGCUGAGGCUUCUAUGAUGAACACACACUGUGCCUUUAUGGAACCACGGAGGCAUCUGAGAACCACACAUGUAACCCUGAUUGACUUAGACAGGACCAGACAUUUAGACACUGGUAUGUUGGGAGUGCCAUCAAUUUCCAAGCUCCCCAAAGAAGCCUGAGUUUGAUGUCCAGACAACUCUCCCUCUCCCUUUCCCCCUACUCUCUCUGUCUCUGUCUUUGUCUCUGUCUCUCUCUAUCCCUUUUCUCUGCCUCUGUCUCUGGGGUUUUUACCUGUCUCUGGCUGUCUCUGUCUCUCUCCUUCUACCUUCUUCUUUUUUUUCCUCUCUCUCUUCUCUUUUCCCCCUUUCUUUCUCUUCUGUCUCUUCCUUUCUCUUUUUCUCUCCUCUCUCACUCUUUCUUCUUCUUGCUUAUUCCAAGGUACAGUUUUUAAAAUUAGUCGUGCUUAAAUUAGCAGUGUUUCUACUUUUAAUAUUCCUCCCUCUAAGCAGCAAGCACAGUUUCAAUCAGGAGUCUGAUUAAUAUGCAGAAAAUGAUUUUUGUUUUGAUUUCAGUCAGGGUUUUUUUUCCCUCCUUUCCUUCCUUUUUUCCCCUUGCCAUGCUAUUUCUUUAUCAAAUUCCUCUGAUCCAGAAAGAGAAUAAGAGGAUGAUGAUAUGGGGUUCCUUAAAGUCAGAAAAGAAUAUUUCCCUGAAACUUGAGGUGGCAAGCUGUCUCCAAGGGCUGGAAUCUCAGUAGCCACUAGUAUCCCAGAAGCUGUCAUAGGAUCCUAAGAAAAAAAAUUUUAAACCUUUCUCUUCUGUCUUAGAAUCAAUACUGUGUAUUGGUUCAAAGACAGAAGAGUAAUAAGGGCUAUGCAAUGGGAGUUAAGUGAGUUGUCCAGGGUCACACAGUUAGGAAGUAUCUGAGGCCAGAUUUGAACCCAGGACCUCCCGUCUCUAGGCCUGGAUCUCAA